GACGAACGCUGGCGGCGUGCUUAACACAUGCAAGUCGAACGCUGAAGCUCAGCUUGCUGGGUGGAUGAGUGGCGAACGGGUGAGUAACACGUGAGUAACCUGCCCUCUUCUUUGGGAUAACGCCCGGAAACGGGUGCUAAUACUGGAUAUUCACUGAUUCUCGCAUGGGGGUUGGUGGAAAGGUUUUUUCUGGUGGGGGAUGGGCUCGCGGCCUAUCAGCUUGUUGGUGGGGUGAUGGCCUACCAAGGCUUUGACGGGUAGCCGGCCUGAGAGGGUGACCGGUCACCUUGGGACUGAGAUACGGCCCAGACUCCUACGGGAGGCAGCAGUGGGGAAUAUUGCACAAUGGGCGAAAGCCUGAUGCAGCGACGCCGCGUGAGGGAUGGAGGCCUUCGGGUUGUAAACCUCUUUCGCUCAUGGUCAAGCCGCAGCUUUGGGUUGUGGUGAGGGUAGUGGGUAAAGAAGCGCCGGCUAACUACGUG
rnacentral:rRNA from 1 species